rnacentral:rRNA from 1 species
ACUCAAAUGAAUUGACGGGGACCCGCACAAGCGGUGGAGCAUGUGGUUUAAUUCGAAGCAACGCGAAGAACCUUACCUGGGCUUGACAUCCCGCUGACCGUCCCGUAACGGGGAUUUCCCUUCGGGGCAGCGGUGACAGGUGGUGCAUGGUUGUCGUCAGCUCGUGUCGUGAGAUGUUGGGUUAAGUCCCGCAACGAGCGCAACCCUUAUCCUUAGUAGCCAGCAUUAAGUUGGGGACUCUAGGGAGACUGCCGGGGAUAACCCGGAGGAAGGUGGGGAUGACGUCAAAUCAUCAUGCCCCUUAUGUCCAGGGCUACACACGUGCUACAAUGGCGUAAACAGAGGGAAGCGAAGGAGCGAUCCGGAGCAAAUCCCAAAAAUAACGUCCCAGUUCGGAUUGUAGUCUGCAACCCGACUACAUGAAGCCGGAAUCGCUAGUAAUCGCGAAUCAGCAUGUCGCGGUGAAUACGUUCCCGGGUCUUGUACACACCGCCCGU